rnacentral:rRNA from 1 species
GAAUCUUCCGCAAUGGGCGAAAGCCUGACGGAGCGACACCGCGUGCAGGAUGAAGGCCUUCGGGUUGUAAACUGCUGUCACGCCAUAGGAACGACGCGUUGCGAAUACCAACGCGUUUUACUAAAGCGCGAGGAAGCACCGGCUAACUCUGUGCCCGCAGCCGCGGUAAGACAGAGGGUGCAAACGUUGUUCGGAAUUACUGGGCAUAAAGAGCACGUAGGCGGUUCGCCAAGUCGUGCGUGAAAUCCCCCGGCUCAACCGGGGAAUUGCGCGUGAUACUGGCGGACUUGAGAUCGGUAGGGGUGAGUGGAACUCCAGGUGGAGCGGUGAAAUGCGUAGAUAUCUGGAGGAACACCGGUGGCGAAAGCGACUCACUGGACCGACACUGACGCUGAGGUGCGAAAGCUAGGGUAGCAAACGGG